rnacentral:rRNA from 1 species
UACGUAGGGUCCGAGCGUUGUCCGGAAUUAUUGGGCGUAAAGGGCUCGUAGGCGGUUUGUUGCGUCUAUCGUGAAAACCUGCGGCUUAACUGUGGGCUUGCGGUGGAUACGGGCAGACUUGAGUUCGGUAGGGGAGACUGGAAUUCCUGGUGUAGCGGUGAAAUGCGCAGAUAUCAGGAGGAACACCGGUGGCGAAGGCGGGUCUCUGGGCCGAUACUGACGCUGAGGAGCGAAAGCGUGGGGGAGCGAACAGG